AGUCAGAUGUGAAAGCCUUCUGUUCAACGGAAGAAUUGCAUCUGAAACUACGAAUCUUGAGUGUAGGAGGGGAGAAUGGAACUUCUGGUGGAGCGGUGAAAUGCGUAGAUAUCAGGAGGAACACCGAUGGCGAAGGCAGGCCUCUGGGCUGUUACUGACGCUGAGGAGCGAAAGCAUGGGGAGCGAACAGGAUUAGAUACCCUGGUAGUCCAUGCCGUAAACGUU
rnacentral:rRNA from 1 species